AUUGAACGCUGGCGGCGGGCUUAACACAUGCAAGUCGAGCGGGGUGAUGGUGCUUGCACUAUCACUUAGCGGCGGACGGGUGAGUAAUGCUUAGGAAUCUGCCUAUUAGUGGGGGACAACAUCUCGAAAGGGAUGCUAAUACCGCAUACGUCCUACGGGAGAAAGCAGGGGAUCACUUGUGACCUUGCGCUAAUAGAUGAGCCUAAGUCGGAUUAGCUAGUUGGUGGGGUGAAGGCCUACCAAGGCGACGAUCUGUAGCGGGUCUGAGAGGAUGAUCCGCCGCACUGGGACUGAGACACUGCCCAGACUCCUACGGGAGGCAGCAGUGGGGAAUAUUGGACAAUGGGGGGAACCCUGAUCCAGCCAUGCCGCGUGUGUGAAGAAGGCCUUAUGGUUGUAAAGCACUUUAAGCGAGGAGGAGGCUUACCUAGUUAAUACCUGGGAUAAGUGGACGUUACUCGCAGAAUAAGCACCGGCUAACUCUGUGCCAGCCGCCGCUGUAACAC
rnacentral:rRNA from 1 species